GUCAGAACUGCUGUAGCUCUGCAAAAGGCAUGAAGUCCUUGCUAGAGAAGGGUGAAAAGCCCACCAGACUCUGCUGUGGUCAGGAAUAAUAACAAACUGGAGCAGGUUCAGAUGAGGGAGAUUAGGAAAUUGAAGCUGAUGGGAGUUAAGUGACUUUCUUAUGGCAACCAGUAGAUGUUCAAGGCAACUGAGAACCCAGAGAUUGAGUUGACAAGAUUAUGACCUUGUGAACUUCAAAAAGUCAGAAGAGCCACCACAAAGAGGAGUCAAUAGCAAAGUCCACCAGAGGUGGUAAGCAGUGGCCAAUGACAAAAGAAGUGCCUUCAGACAGGUGUGAAAAGAUAGUCACCCAAGGAUGGCAGUGGCUUCAAAGAUCAUGCCCUCUCUCAUGGCAGAUAAAAGCACUGGCUAAAGACUCUAGAAAUGGACAGAUCCUCAAAACUCAGCAACACCUGAGGGAAACUUCAUGAGGUCUCCACGAAAAAGAAAAAAAUCCAGGGUCAACAGAGUUAUGAUGUACCCUUUUGCCACAUGUGUUCUCUAUAUGUAUACCUCAGGACCAUCAUACUUUAAAUCUAAGCCCAUCUUUUUGGGUCCUUGUUUGCUCAAGGGGCAACUGUGCUCCCGGUUUGGGAAAAAUAUUUCUAUAAUUUUUUUUCUCUUUAUGCCUUCUCAGUAAAUCCCUUUUCUAAAGAUAAUAGAGAUGACUUCAGUCCUGGAAUUUAUAUCUUGGAGGUAACCUUACCCCUGGGUCCCCUUUCUUUGAUUGGAUGACUUUUCCUCAAACCUCCAUUUAAGGUGGGUACCCAGGACAGCCUCUUCAUUUCCCACCAAGGUGAGAAAUUUCCAUAUUUCUUUACCAUGCUCUAGUAAUCUCCUCAUUCCGGAAGAUCAUCUUAGCUCUGGAAUUCACACUUGGAAAGUACUCUUCCCCACUGGGGUCCCUCCCUCUCAUUGGAUGGCUCCUUCUAGGACCUUCAUGUAAGGAGGGCAACCUGGCCAGAUAUCUCUUUAUUUCCUAUCAGGCUGUACUUCUCUAUCAUCCCCUGCUUCACCUUCCCCCCUUCACCUCCUUUCAGCUUCCUAUUUAUGUUUUGUCUUCUCCCUUAGAAUGUAAAGGUAAGAAAUUUUAA